UACAGAGGUCUCAAGCGUUGUUCGGAAUCAUUGGGCGUAAAGCGCGUGUAGGCGGCCCGGUAAGUCCGCUGUGAAAGUCGGGGGCUCAACCCUCGGAUGCCGGUGGAUACUGUCGGGCUCGAGUACGGAAGAGGCGAGUGGAAUUCCUGGUGUAGCGGUGAAAUGCGCAGAUAUCAGGAGGAACACCAAUUGCGAAGGCAGCUCGCUGGGACGUUACUGACGCUGAGACGCGAAAGCGUGGGGAGCGAACAGG
rnacentral:rRNA from 1 species